UGGCAAUUGCAGACAGCGAGGAGCACGUGGUUGGUGUGGACAGCGGAUUCUAUGAUCUCAGGAACAUCGCUGACUCACUCCCAGCUAAGUCCUGCAUUGAGCUUAUGUGGAACCGACCGGUUACUGUGUGGGAGGUCAACUGACAAAAGAAGCAGCUCCUGGUCACCUGGCCCCUCUGGCUCUGCCCAGAUUGUUCUCAUUCUUCACUGGUCAGGCAGUAAUACUAUGACUACUGCUUAACUGUAAGUAAGGCUUGCUUUUCUCAUUC